rnacentral:lncRNA from 1 species
GACUUUUGAGCUGUGGGUUUGAAUAACUGGCCUGCUGGGUUUUGGACUUUUCAUGGAGCCUGUAAGUCCCAUUUGUGUUUUGUUCUCUCAGGCAAAAAUCUUCCUUUUGGCUGGGAAAUCUUAAUGCCUGGACAAUCAUUGUACCUUGGAAGUAGUUAACUUGUUUGUAUUUCAGAGGCUCAGGGGCAGAAGAGACUGCCUUGUCUCAGAUGAGACUUUGGGCUUUGGACAUUUGAGUAAAUGCUGGAAUGAGUUAAGACCUUGUGGGAUUGUAGGUAAGGCAUCAUUGUAUUUUGCAAAGUGAGAAGUACAUGAGAUUGGGGGAGGCAGGGACACAAUAAGAUUUGGCUGUGUGUCCCUACAGAAACUCAUUUGGAAUUGUAAUUGGAAAUGCUAAAAGUGGGGCCAGGUGGAAGGUGAUUUAAUCAUGGAGGGCAGUGGGGGUUGGAAGGUGGAUAUGGUUUGGCUGUGUGUCUCUACCAAAACACAUGGGAAAUUGUAAUUCCAAAUGUUGCAGGUAUGGCCUGGUGGGAGGUGAUUUAUUCCUGUACUUGAGAGGGGUGGAGUUGGAAGUAAACAGAAGUGGGUAAGGUCAGAGGAGUAGGUUGGCUGUAGGGUGGUGUGAGGGUGGUGGGUAGUAGGAAGUGGGAGUAGCCUGCUACAGAGGCAGAGGCUCAUGGAAAACCUCUACUAGGGCAGUGCACCUGUGGCUUUGCAGGCUUUAGCCCCCAUGGCUGCUCUCAUGGACUGGGCUGGUGUUGAGUGCCUGUAGCUUUUCCAUACUGAGGGUGGGAGCUUUAGGUGGGUCUAUGACUCUAGGGUCUGGAGGAUGGUGGUAUCCUGCGUGGGGGCUCCAAACCCAUAUUUUCCUUCUGCACUGCCCUAGUAGAGAUUUUCCAAGAGGCUCUGCCUCUGCCUCAGACUUCUGCUUGGAAACACUGGGGGGUGGAUGUGGGGUAUUGGGUGGAUCCUUCACCAAUAGUUAAGCACCAUCUUCUUGAUGCUGAUCUCCUGAUACUGAGUUCUCUCGAGAUCUGGUUGUAUAACAGGAUGUGGCAUCUUUCCUCUGUCUUGCUUCUACUCCUGGAAUAUGAAACAUUUCAUUGCUGCUUGGCCUUCUGGUAUAAAUGGGAGGCUUCCUGAGUCCUCCUAAAAGCAGAAACCACUAUGCUUUCAUUACAGCCUCCAGAACUGUGAGUCAAUUCAACCUCUUUUCUUUAUGUACAUGCAGAAAAUCAAUGCUGUGAAGUGAAGCUAUGAAAUGCCUUCAAGGCCUUUUCCCCAAUCUUUUGGCUGUUAGCACUGGGCUUCUUUGAUGCUAAUAUCUGAAGCCUUCUUGAAGUUUUCC